rnacentral:rRNA from 1 species
AACGUACGCUGGCGGCACGCCUAACACAUGCAAGUCGAACGAAGUAGCAAUACUUAGUGGCAGACGGGUGAGUAACAUGUAGGUAUCUGCCCUUUGGCCUGGAAUAACACGAGGAAACUUGUGCUAAUACCGGAUAAGUCUUUACGGAGAAAGCUUUAUGCACCAUUGGAUGAGCCUGCACUUGAUUAGUUUGUUGGUGGGGUAAUGGCCUACCAAGACUGUGAUCAAUAGCUGAUUUGAGAGGAUGAUCAGCCACAUUGGGACUGAGACACGGCCCAAACUCCUACGGGAGGCAGCAGUGGGGAAUCUUGCACAAUGGAGGAAACUCUGAUGCAGCGAUGCCGCGUGAGUGAAGAAGGCCCUUGGGUUGUAAAGCUCUUUCGUCGGGGAAGAAAAUGACUGUACCCGAAUAAGAAGGUCCGGCUAACUUCGUGCCAGCAGCCGCGGUAAUACGAAGGGACCUAGCGUAGUUCGGAAUUACUGGGCUUAAAGAGUUCGUAGGUGGUUGAAAAAGUUAGUGGUGAAAUCCCAGAGCUUAACUCUGGAACUGCCAUUAAAACUUUUCAGCUAGAGUAUGAUAGAGGAAAGCAGAAUUUCUAGUGUAGAGGUGAAAUUCGUAGAUAUUAGAAAGAAUACCAAUUGCGAAGGCAGCUUUCUGGAUCAUUACUGACACUGAGGAACGAAAGCAUGGGUAGCGAAGAGGAUUAGAUACCCUCGUAGUCCAUGCCGUAAACGAUGUGUGUUAGACGUUGGAAAUUUAUUUUCAGUGUCGCAGGGAAACCGAUAAACACACCGCCUGGGGAGUACGACCGCAAGGUUAAAACUCAAAUGAAUUGACGGGGACCCGCACAAGUAGUGGAGCAUGUGGUUUAAUUCGAAGAUACGCGCAGAACCUUACCAACACUUGACAUGUUCGUCGCGACUUUAAGAGAUUAAAGUUUUCGGUUCGGCCGGACGAAACACAGGUGCUGCAUGGCUGUCGUCAGCUCGUGUCGUGAGAUGUUGGGUUAAGUCCCGCAACGAGCGCAACCCUCACUUUUAGUUGCCAUCAUUUAGUUGGGCACUCUGAAAGAACUGCCAGUGAUAAGCUGGAGGAAGGUGGGGAUGACGUCAAGUCCUCAUGGCCCUUACGUGUUGGGCUACACACGUGCUACAAUGGUAUCUACAACAGGAAGCAAGACUGCGAAGUUAAGCAAAUCCCCAAAAGAUACCUCAGUUCGGAUUGCACUCUGCAACUCGAGUGCAUGAAGCUGGAAUUACUAGUAAUCGUGGAUCAGCGUGCCACGGUGAAUGCGUUCCCGGGUCU